GUAGUCCACGCCGUAAACGAUGAGUGCUAGGUGUUGGGGGGACCACCCUCAGUGCCGCAGGUAACCCAAUAAGCACUCCGCCUGGGGAGUACGGUCGCAAGACUGAAACUCAAAGGAAUUGACGGGGGCCCGCACAAGCGGUGGAGCAUGUGGUUUAAUUCGAAGCAACGCGAAGAACCUUACCAGGGCUUGACAUCCCGCUGACCGGUGUAGAGAUAUGCCUUUCCCCUUCGGGGGACAGCGGUGACAGGUGGUGCAUGGUUGUCGUCAGCUCGUGUCGUGAGAUGUUGGGUUCAGUCCCGCAACGAGCGCAACCCCUAUUUCUAGUUGCCAGCAUUUCGGAUGGGCACUCUAGAGAGACAGCCGGUGAAAGCCGGA
rnacentral:rRNA from 1 species